rnacentral:rRNA from 1 species
AACGAACGCUGGCGGCAUGCCUAACACAUGCAAGUCGAACGAGACCUUCGGGUCUAGUGGCGCACGGGUGCGUAACGCGUGGGAACCUGCCCUUAGGUUCGGAAUAACUCCCCGAAAGGGGUGCUAAUACCGGAUAAUGUCUUCGGACCAAAGAUUUAUCGCCUUUGGAUGGGCCCGCGUUGGAUUAGCUAGUUGGUAGGGUAAAAGCCUACCAAGGCGACGAUCCAUAGCUGGUCUGAGAGGAUGAUCAGCCACACUGGGACUGAGACACGGCCCAGAAUACUACGGGAGGCAGCAGUGGGGAAUAUUGGACAAUGGGCGAAAGCCUGAUCCAGCAAUGCCGCGUGAGUGAUGAAGGCCUUAGGGUUGUAAAGCUCUUUUACCCGGGAUGAUAAUGACAGUACCGGGAGAAUAAGCUCCGGCUAACUCCGUG